UCAAACUACUGAUAAGCACUUGGACCACUAUGCUCUGAUGCCCUAUGUACCUUCCCUUUCUGUUCCACUCUUCUUUCUUUUUUCUUCUUUCUUACUCCUUUUUUCAACCUUUUGCCGCUCUCUCGGAGGCCCAAGCUGCCUCCAACUUGUAUGCUCAGUUCAUUUGACCUAAUGAAUGAAGCAGGUAGCUUGCUACCUAUUUUCUCAAAAAAAAAAAAAA
rnacentral:lncRNA from 1 species